rnacentral:rRNA from 1 species
UGAUGCCUACGGGAGGCAGCAGUAGGGAAUCUUCCACAAUGGGCGAAAGCCUGAUGGGGCAACGCCGCGUGGGUGAAGAAGGUCUUCGGAUCGUAAAACCCUGUUGUUAGAGAAGAAAGUGCGUGAGAGUAACUGUUCACGUUUCGACGGUAUCUAACCAGAAAGCCACGGCUAACUACGUGCCAGCAGCCGCGGUAAUACGUAGGUGGCAAGCGUUAUCCGGAUUUAUUGGGCGUAAAGGGAACGCAGGCGGUCUUUUAAGUCUGACGGGAAAGCCAUCGGCUUAACCGGAG